UUUUUUAAGCUCCUCCUCAUCGAACUGAGAAGAUUGUGAGUCGUGUUCAGCCAUGUUUUCCUGUUUGUUUUUUUGGUAGUUGUCAAAACACAACCAAACACGGCAAGCGAUGCGACGAGCGGUUUGAAUGAAUUGCGGGAAUUCCUGCUUCCUUCUGAUUGGCUCGCUGCAAUUUCCUCGCCCUCUCAUUGGCUUAGAGCAGCGGGCUUAAAUAUAUUAGAACCCGCCAAAACGUUCAUUAGAGCCCGUAUAAUACGCCACAAUGCUCGCCAAAGUUAUAAUAAUGUAUGAUUUAGAUAUUACUCGUUUUAGGUUGGAAUUACAAGUUCUAAGUAUAUAAAUGAACAAACCUUUCUAUCCUAAGAUAGUUAAGGCAGUUACCUGUUCCGUGAAUGCAAGUCUCGAAAAGAGUUCUGUUGCUACUUGUAGACCAGCUUCUAAAUAGACUGCACCUAUGAUAUAAUAGUUGUAAAAAGUUCCAUCCAAUAUUUAGAAACUUAGGAGGAUUUAUUUCUUUAAAAUGACAUAUAAGUUAAAUGCAGUGUAAGAAUGACAGGCCCAUAGUCACAGGCUCGAGGGGUUGUGAAGAACCACCACACAUCAAAUGGAAGGACUGCUUAAGUGAAUGAAAAUUAGUACCACUGCAACAAGAUACCUAGUAGAAAAUGGUCCGCUAAAUGGCUAAACGAACUUCGUCCCCUAUGAGUAUAUGUGGCAAGUGCACUGGUGGUAUAAGUAUAUCUUACCAAGCAAUGCCUCUAGGCAGUUGGCCAUGGCAUGAUUCAAGUCGUCUUCCUGGCACAGGUCGGGUCUUCAAGACAGCAACAACACAUGUUUAAGAAUAAGGGUUUAAAAGAAGGAGUGGAGACACAAGAGAAAGUGGAAGUGAGGAGAAGGGGGGAAAUUUGAGCGAAAGAGGAGAGGUUGAUUCGGUGGCUUACCCGUGCGAGAACUGCAUGUAGUCAGAAAGGUCGAGCAUCUAUAAUAGAAAUGGCAAAGACACUUUAACACUAAUUCUCCUUUUAACAUGGUACGAAUAAGUGAUAGUAGCAGAUGCCGCUGAAUUAAAGAUUUCUACUCACAUCGAUGUACUAAAUAAAUAAGACCUUGGCAAGGAGCUGUGUUAGUUAUGUACCUUGGCCAGGAGCGCCAGGUGUCGGUUCUGCACAAGGGCGGAUCUGAAUGUCGCAAGGUGCCCCUCAUCCAUGUCAGGUAGCAUAUAGAACAGAUGCUUGCUGCAACAAUAGAUAACGUUAGGCUCGAUUCAUACUUCGCCUUCUUGUCAUGCUGAGCUUGAUUAUCUUGGACUCAUUAACCAGUUUGAGGUCGAUCAAUGAUACAGCGUGCGGGGCCAGGUUCCUAGAAAGCAGGUUAACGCUAACCCAGGAAUGAAUGCCUUUUUUAUUCAAUUAAAUAUCGAGAUGGCAGUAUUUAUUCCUGGGUUUACACUUACCUGUUUUGUAUGACCCAGCCCAGGCUGCACCAGUCGUGUUGCACACAAAAUGGCAUUCAAACUUUGUUGUGCCUUUUGUCGUGCCGAAUAAAAUCUUAAAAUUCUCUGCAUUUGUGCAACGGAAACUCUACUGACCACAUCCAUUCAACUUGGUUGCGACCCCAUUUAAUGUGAUGUUUGUAUCGACGUAGAACUAAAUGUAUUUUGGUCUAUACAAAUAGAAAAUCGGGUUUGAAGAGGAAGGGUUGAUGAACGACAACAAUACAGUUACACUUUAGAACAAAUCAGAAGAACAGAAAUUGCAAACCAAGGGAAACUAAUUGGCGAAAAAGGACAUUUCGAUAUUCAAAAAAAUGCUUUGUAUAACUAACAGAAUGAAUAGGUGAGUCAUUUUCAUUCAAGUCCUACAUCACUAAGCACAGGGUGACAUCGAAGCAAUGAAACAGAUGUGGUAAAUUUCCUAUGAUGUGUCACACUGAAAAGCUAAAGGCUGAUUUAGACAACACGUUUAAGUCAUAUACCACAUGCCUUAGCCCCGAAUGUCACAUUGCGACAUUCGUAGGCGAGGCGUAGGCUGAUUUACACAUUACGAUUCGAGUUGUGUCGCGGGCAAUACGCAUAUCACUAAAUCGUCUUAACCGGCCUAAAGAAAUGCUGACGUUGGAUGGCUGGCGCUGUGUGCGUCUGUCUUCCCGUUCAGUUACCAACUGUUUAGAUACCUGCAGAUGAAUUCAAGGACAGCGUCUCCAAGAAACUCCAGCCGCUCAUUGUGACGGAUCCUACAAACGGCAAACGAGACUAUCAGGAAGGACCCCCAAAACCCAACCCUGGCCUGAUCAUGUAACAUUAUAACCUAUGGGGAGGAAACUGGCGCACCAAGGAAAAGUCCUGGCUACAUUAUUCUUAUCUACCGUUCCCUAUUGUACCAUGCUUUUCCUGAACUGUGAACUGUCUGCCUGCGUCGUUUAUCCUUGGCACCCGGAUGCUUUAUAAGAGCUAGUUUGCCAUUGUUAUCUUCGAACCUACACAAAACAAGCAAGCAAGCAAAAGUGGAGGUUUAGGGAAGAAGAAAAAUGAAUUAGUAUAAAGAUUGAAUGAGAGUAAGAGGGCGACCAAAAAGGGCAGAUCUUAUGCAGGUAGAAAGAAAGGUUUAGAGGGAAAGUUUGAGAGGAAGGACAGAUUUUUACGUGUAGAGAGAAAGGUCUGGAGGGAAAGCUUAGGAGGAGGGGGUAGAAGGGGGAAGACUUUGAAUACUUACAUUGAUCUAUCUUCCUCCACCUUUCCCAAGUUCGCCAUCACACGGACCAAAUGUGUUAUACCUAAAAA